rnacentral:tRNA from 1 species
GAGAAAUUAGUUAAAAUAUAACAUUAGAUUGUCAUUCUAAAAUUUUUAUUUCUUC